rnacentral:rRNA from 1 species
CCUGGUUGAUUCUGCCAGUAGUCAUAUGCUUGUCUCAAAGAUUAAGCCAUGCAUGUCUAAGUAUAAGCAACUAUACUGUGAAACUGCGAAUGGCUCAUUAAAUCAGUUAUCGUUUAUUUGAUAGUACCUUACUACUUGGAUAACCGUGGUAAUUCUAGAGCUAAUACAUGCGAAAAACCCCGACUUCGGAAGGGGUGUAUUUAUUAGAUAAAAAACCAAUGCCCUUCGGGGCUUCCUGGUGAUUCAUAAUAACUUAACGAAUCGCAUGGCCUUGCGCCGGCGAUGGUUCAUUCAAAUUUCUGCCCUAUCAACUUUCGAUUGUAGAGUAGUGGUCUACAAUGGUUUCAACGGGUAACGGGGAAUUAGGGUUCGACUCCGGAGAGGGAGCCUGAGAAACGGCUACCACAUCCAAGGAAGGCAGCAGGCGCGCAAAUUACCCAAUCCCGACACGGGGAGGUAGUGACAAUAAAUACUGAUACAGGGCUCUUUUGGGUCUUGUAAUUGGAAUGAGUACAAUUUAAAUCCCUUAACGAGGAACAACUGGAGGGCAAGUCUGGUGCCAGCAGCCGCGGUAAUUCCAGCUCCAGAAGCGUAUAUUAAAGUUGUUGCAGUUAAAAAGCUCGUAGUUGAAUUUUGGGCCUGGCUGGCCGGUCCGCCUCACCGCGUGCACUGGUCCGGCCGGGCCUUUCCUCCUGGGGAUCCGCAUGCCCUUCACUGGGUGUGUUGGGGAACCAGGACUUUUACUUUGAAAAAAUUAGAGUGUUCAAAGCAGGCCUUUGCUCGAAUACAUUAGCAUGGAAUAAUAGAAUAGGACGGCUUUCCUAUUUUGUUGGUUUCUAGGGAAGCCGUAAUGAUUAAUAGGGAUAGUCGGGGGCAUCAGUAUUCAAUUGUCAGAGGUGAAAUUCUUGGAUUUAUUGAAGACUAACUACUGCGAAAGCAUUUGCCAAGGAUGUUUUCAUUAAUCAGUGAACGAAAGUUAGGGGAUCGAAGACGAUCAGAUACCGUCGUAGUCUUAACCAUAAACUAUGCCGACUAGGGAUCGGGCGAUGUUACUAUCUUGACUCGCUCGGCACCUUACGAGAAAUCAAAGUUUUUGGGUUCUGGGGGGAGUAUGGUCGCAAGGCUGAAACUUAAAGAAAUUGACGGAAGGGCACCACCAGGAGUUAACUUGCUUGCCGCGAGCUCUGCGCCUGAUAGCACGACCCAAUGGGUAGUGGUGUCCCUUGAAACGAUGCUAGUCCCCCUCCUCGGAGGGGGGCAACACGCUUAAACUGCGGGGACCUCCAAGCCUCACCGUCCCAAGCCCGCGCCUAACCGUGCGGGUGGCCGAGCCCAACAGCUCGGGUAGGGGAAAAACCGGGAGAGUGGACGAUCCGCAUCCAAGCCCCCAGACACCACUGGGGGAAGGUUCAGAGACUAGACAAGCGUGGGUCGGCGCAGCGCCGAUUUAAGAUAUAGUCCGUGGUUCGGAGGGCAAC